UUUGAGCAUGAGGUUGAAUUCGUGAUAAGGAGACGAUCACAUUGGUGGUAGUCUCAUGUUCUUACUUUGCCAAAUGAUGAAGCUUCGAUGAGGGAUCACCAGAGUUGUUUCAGGCCAUCCGACUUGACUAUCCACGUUGACAUUUUGAAAUGUUUUGAUUGGUCCAUUUUGAAUGUGAUUCCAUGUUUUAUUCUGACUAUUUUCCACCAUGCGCCAUAGCUUGAUAGUUGUUGGAUCUGCCACGUCAAUUAAUAAGGCAAGAUCCAACGCCUCUGUUUUUUUCCUGUUUUUUAUUUCCUUUUCUUUUUUAUUUUAAAUUGUAUUUUCUUUAAAAAUUCAUAGAAAGUUCAUUUUUUAUCCAAAAAAAUCCCUAAAUAAUUUCUAAAAUUUUAUUUUGUUAUCCUUC
rnacentral:lncRNA from 1 species